rnacentral:lncRNA from 1 species
CUGGCCUCCCAAAGUGCUGGGAUAACAGGUGUGAGCCACCACCCCUGGCCUAUGAGUGCUUUAAAUAGCAAAAAUGUGAGAUGAAAAAUGGUAGUUCUAUCACUGCCAACAGUUAAAAGAUAAUGAAACCUUACAUUAAUUCAUAUUAGGGUAAGUACCAAGUUUGCCUCUAUUAUGUGUGCCCAAGUAAGCAGCUCUCUGAAAAAUUAUUUAACAAAUGUGCUAAGUUAAAAACAUUCUACUUAGCAGAUUGAGAUAACAAAGUAUUUCCUUUAGACUUUUCUCUCUUAGUGUGAAGCAUGAUGAUUUAGGGUGGGGAAUCGUAAUGAGGCAUAAAUCCUAUGCAGUUUGUAAACAGGACUAUGAUUAAUGCCACUUUUUUAACCCAACUUUUUUAUUAUGAACAAUUUCAUAUGUAAAGUUAAAAGAAUAUUAUAAUGAACACCUGUAUAGCUCCUACCAAGAGCGAACAAUUACUUCUUUAGGAUUUUAAAUGACUGUGCAAGUAUGCAAAGAACCCUAAAGAAAGAAAUAGCAUCUCAUUUUCCAUCCAGUCCUUGCUCAGUAUGUUUGCUGGGCGGCUGUGACAGGCCCUGGGUGUGGAGUCAGCUGCAAGUGCAGAGCUCCCUCUGGGAUGUGAGGUGCUGUUGUCCACGGCCCCGCAGCCCCGGGCUCAAGUCUCAGUGUCCUCACAAAGGGGUUUGUGUCCUCACCGCAACCCACAUGCGACCCACAGCCCAGCCUCGCCUCUCCCUCAACAGCCUGCACCUCCCUGUCCCUCAGCACCUGCUGAGACAUCUGCAAGGGGCCUGUCUGGCCCCGCUGGCCUCUCCCUAUGGAUACCUUAACCGAGAAGGGAAAGACCUCCCACUCAGCCUCCUCACUUUGCAAGCACUGCAGGGUGGUCCAAGGAUGACACGAGGGCACCCAGGUGACAUGCCUGACCCAGUCAGUCCUAAAUAAACGAGAGCUACUCUUCCACAGCCAUCAUCACCACCACCAACCUUUCCUCACUUUCUGGAUUCAACUACCUCCCAAACGCUCUCAAACCUCUCAACCCCACUUCAGACAUGGAGUGCCCCCCUCCUGAAGCUCCUUCGCUCUGCCCUCUUACCACGCGUCCUGACUGCAGCCUCUUCCGUGGCUUCCUGAGCUCAGCUCCAACAUUCUUUAACCUACCUUCCCCAGCAGUGCUAUUUCCGAAGACAAACACCUCCUCAUUCUAGUACGUUGCUUUUAGUGACCAUCCGUGCCUCGCCACUGCUUACCAAUCAAAGCAUCCACUCCUUAGAUGGAGACAAGGCUCUGCACAGCCCGGCCUACGGCUGCUCCUCGUGGCACAGCACAGGGCUCCGGAGAGCUGCCCAUCUGCAGCAGGAGCUACAGUUCUCUAAACAGACAGUGACUCCCACAUUCCCACUGAGAAUUUGUGUAUUCAUUUGGCAAAAACUCAUGAAAAUGCAUCACUACUCAUUGAGCUUGGGAGUCCAAAUCCUGCUGUAACCUGCAGGCUGCAAAACUUCAUAGAGUGGAUUUAAGCUCUCCAAGCCUCAGUUUAUUCACCUGUAAAAUACGGAAUACAUCUCAUAUGUUGCAUGGAUAAAAAUGAAUAAGACAAUGCACAAAGUGCCCCAAACACAAGGAGGGUGAGGAUUCCUUUCCUAAAGAAUCCCACAGCAUAACAGGGAGAGAGGCUGCAAGAGAUCAUGCUACUGAGAGGCACUAAUGCAGGGUCCAUGUGGUGCAGUCACAGGAGACUGCAGAGAGGGGGCAGGGACUGCUCCCAGGAGUGGUGGCAUCUGACCUGUGACUUGAAGCAUAUGAAUUUACUAGUGGUUUCCACAAGAGAAGCGCUCCAGGAAGAGGGAACUGUAUGUGGCUCGCACAUGGGUCUGGGAGCAAAGACAAAUGCCUGUGAAUGGAAGAGACACACACAAGAGAAGGGCUGGAGAGGGAGGAGGGGGUGAGGAGCUCUCUAGGUCCCAUCAAGAGAGCACAGUGAAGCAGAGAGCCUCCUGUCCACCAAGAGGGCAUGCAGAGCCAGGCUCAGGAGUCCCGGCUUCAUUCUGGAUGGGCCCUGUCCAGGUAACAGAGUUAACUGAGGCAUUAUUCUAAGGACAGAGUGGUGGGGGUCAAAUGUGGGGGAAAGAACUGGGAUCAAGGUCUACGUGAAGGAUGAUGUGGCAGCAGGCAUCAAGACAGAAAGGAAGAGGCAAAUGCAUGAAAUCUUCAGAAGUCUAGAAAAGAGCAUCAACUGGACUUGGGAACUGAAUGUGGAGGCUCCGGAUCCAAGACCUCGAAGAGCAGCUCAGGCUGACUGCCUUGCUCAGGGAGGCUGGCCCUCAACAAGAAACAGGAAUUAAGAAAGUAGACAGCUUUGGGAGAAGGGGAGAACACACAGAUGAAAUUAAUAUGCCCCCAAAUUGGAAGCUUUGGAAAAGGGAGGAAUGAAUGCAGCCAGAGAGUAAGAGUGCCGUCACGUCAAAGAGAUUCACAGCAGACUCGGCUAUGCAUGCCAUGUUGUUGGACAGCAUUUUACUCAAAGAACUUCAUUUGAAACUGAAGUCGAUGCUCUCAGACCCUGCUUUAUCAACUUAGCUUAUGGAAUCUUCUAAAUCCUUGGUUGUCACUUCAACAACAUUCAUAGCAUCUUCUCCAGGAGCGGAUUCCAUUUCAAGAAACUACUUUCUUUGCUCAUCCGUAAGAGGCAACUCCUCAUCUGUUCGAGUUUCAUCCUGAGGUUGCCGCAGUUCAGUCAUCUUCAGGCUCCACUCCUAAUUCCCUCCCUAUUUUCACCACACCUGCGGCUCUUCCCUCCGCUGAGGUCUUGAAACCUUCUAACAGUCAUCCCUGAGGGUCGGAAUCAACUUCUUCCAAACCUGUAUGAAUGCUGACCUCCUCCCAGGUACCACGUAUGUUCUUAAUGGCAACUGGAAUCGUGAAUCCUUUCCAGAAGGUGUUCAAUUUGAUUUGGCCAGAUCUAUCAGUAGAUCCAUUAGUAGAGACAGGGUUUCACCAUGUUGGUCAGGCUGGUCUUGAACUCCCGACCUCCGGUGAUCCGCCUGCCUUGG